GUGCUACAGUAUCUUUCCUAUACAUGCUGGAGGAAAUAUUGCUCAUUUGGAUUUUUGAAGAGAAAGACAUUUUAAGGACACUGAAAGAGUGAGAAGUUCAAGAGGCACAAUCUCAGCAGACAAACCAAGUCACAAACUUCUGGAUUCUUUAACUUACAAGGACAUGGAUUAUUUCUGAGACUUGUUUUGAAUGCCAGUUUCAUGCACAUAGUUGAAUCAAGUAGCACAUCUGAGCACAAGGCAAAAAGAAUUUGUUCCAAGUGACAAUGGCUGGUAACAAGAGUUGAAGGCCUCUGGAGAACACAGGAAUAGCACUGUCAUCCUGGGCCACAGAACCUGACCUCAGAAGGGAGCUGAGAGGAUGAACAUGGUUAAGUUUAAGGUGCUGAAAUACCACAACACUAAGUAUGAAGAUCAGCACUAGACUCUCCCUGCCUCCAGAAGACUCUCCUUCAGACACAUCCUACUGAGACUGCAAUUUAUCAGUGCUUCCACUACAGAACUAUAUCUUCAAGGAAGAAGUGAGCCUUGGUUUAGCUGAAAAGUAUACACUUUUUGAUGU